rnacentral:misc_RNA from 1 species
UUUUUAUUUUUAUAUUUUAAAUCUUGAUUUUAUUUUAUGUUUUUUAAAUGUUAGUGUUUUUGAAUAUAUUAUUUAAAUAACAUAAAAAAUAAAAUAUAUAUUGACAUGGAUUAAACAAAGAUAUAUAUUAUUUUAUGUUGCAUAAACAAAUUGGCAAAAUAGAGAUGGAAGAUAAAAAU